UACGUAGGGUGCGAGCGUUGUCCGGAAUUAUUGGGCGUAAAGGGCUCGUAGGCGGUUUGUCGCGUUGUCCGUGAAAACUCACAACUCAAUUGUGGGCGUGCGGGCGAUACGGGCAGACUGGAGUACUGCAGGGGAGACUGGAAUUCCUGGUGUAGCGGUGGAAUGCGCAGAUAUCAGGAGGAACACCGGUGGCGAAGGCGGGGUCUCUGGGCAGUAACUGACGCUGAGGAGCGAAAGCGUGGGGAGCGAACAGG
rnacentral:rRNA from 1 species